rnacentral:rRNA from 1 species
CAGCCGCCACGGGAAUACGAAGGGGGCUAGCGUUGCUCGGAAUGACUGGGCGUAAAGGGCGCGUAGGCGGCGGCCAAAGUCAGGCGUGAAAUUCCCGGGCUCAACCUGGGGGCUGCGUUUGAUACUUGGUUGCUUGAGUGGGGAAGAGGGUCGUGGAAUUCCCAGUGUAGAGGUGAAAUUCGUAGAUAUUGGGAAGAACACCGGUGGCGAAGGCGGCGACCUGGUCCUUGACUGACGCUGAGGCGCGAAAGCGUGGGGAGCAAACAGGAUUAGAUACCCCAGUAGUCCCUGUCUCUUAUAU